rnacentral:rRNA from 1 species
UAGGGAAUCUUCCGCAAUGGGCGAAAGCCUGACGGAGCAACGCCGCGUGAGUGAUGAAGGUCUUCGGAUCGUAAAACUCUGUUAUUAGGGAAGAACAAAUGUGUAAGUAACUAUGCACGUCUUGACGGUACCUAAUCAGAAAGCCACGGCUAACUACGUGUCAGCAGCCGCGGUAAUACGUAGGUGGCAAGCGUUAUCCGGAAUUAUUGGGCGUAAAGCGCGCGUAGGCGGUUUUUUAAGUCUGAUGUGAAAGCCCACGGCUCAACCGUGGAGGGUCAUUGGAAACUGGAAAACUUGAGUGCAGAAGAGGAAAGUGGAAUUCCAUGUGUAGCGGUGAAAUGCGCAGAGAUAUGGAGGAACACCAGUGGCGAAGGCGACUUUCUGGUCUGUAACUGACGCUGAUGUGCGAAAGCGUGGGGAUCAAACAGG